GUGGACUACAAGGGUUUCUAAUCCUGUUUGCUACCCACGCUUUCGUGCAUGAGCGUCAGUAUCGGCCCAGGGGGCUGCCUUCGCCAUCGGUGUUCCUCCACAUCUCUACGCAUUUCACUGCUACACGUGGAAUUCCACCCCCCUCUGCCGUACUCUAGCCUCGCAGUCACAAAGGCAGUUCCCAGGUUGAGCCCGGGGAUUUCACCUCUGUCUUACGAAACCGCCUGCGCACGCUUUACGCCCAGUAAUUCCGAUUAACGCUCGCACCCUACGUAUUACCGCGGCGGCUGGCACUU
rnacentral:misc_RNA from 1 species